UUUAUGUGGAGGUAAUGUAAGGGAUGGUUGCCUAGUAGAGUUGUUCUGCAUCAUAAACAUGUUUUAGAUGACCAGACUUGUCCUUGUUGUAAUUUUGAAACUGAAGCUUUAAGCCAUGUUUUUUUGGGACUGUGACCAAGUUACGUGCUUUUGGGAAGAGGCUGGACUCUUGCAUUUAAAGAAUUUGCUAGAUGAAAGGGAUUUGGUG
rnacentral:lncRNA from 1 species